rnacentral:lncRNA from 1 species
CUUCCCUCCUUCCCUCCCUUCUCCCCAUCCCCAUCCACGGAUCCAUCCUAUGGACCCCAUCCUAUGUGUCCCUGAAGACCCCCGAGUGGCAUAGCAUUCGUUUGCAUGUGUGUGGCAUUGGCAGGGGAGUCUGGGCAGGGGGUGGUCAGUGCAAUGACUUGGGCCUGAAAGAAUGAGGUUUUGGUGGUGAGCUCUUCCCCUGUGGAGCUGAAUGUGCAGCCGUGUGUUUUGUUCACGGCUUCCUGCGUCUGCCCUCUAGAGGCCCACAGAAGCCUCGCACCUCCCCAGCCCGGCGUCUGCGGGUGAAUUGUCUGAGCAGGAGCACAACAGCUUAAGCUUCAUGUUCUCCGGGCCCAGGUGAAAUACUCUCACCCCCUCUGAUGGCCACUUUCCAAUCCUGUUAUCCGCCCCCAGUCUUGUGAUCUGUCCCACAGCAAACACUCCUUCCAGGUGUGAGUUGUGCCAAGGAACACUGUUUCGUUGUCACACAUAGUACUUAGACGCAGUGAGUGAAGAGACACUUGGUCCCGGGCCCCCUUCUCUGCACACACUGCCCUGUGUGCUACAGCAUGCCAGGCAGGGUGCCAGGACAGCAGGCCCGUGAAGACCAUGGCGGCGGCUGUCUGAAGACCAGCUCACAGCAGGAGCUGCGCUGAGAUCUUCUCCUGGGUGCUCAUGCUGGGGCCCGAGGUCGUAUGGAAAAGGCUUGUCCCCCUUGCUGGAUGUCACAAGGCUCAGCCACGUGGAUAGAAGCUGCUUGGAUGACCACAUUAAGUGAAUGGCCGCAUCUGUGCACUGGCUCUGCAGCCCUGGGCAGCGACACAGAGACAGCAAGCAGAGCAUCCAUCACCAGGAUUCUCAGAGUCUCGCCCUGUCACCAGGCUGGAGUGCAGUGGCAUGAACUCAGCUCACUGCAACCUCCACCUCCCGGGUUCCAGCGAUUCUCCUGCCUCAGCCUCCCGAGUAGCUGGGAUUACAGAUGUGCACCACCACGUCCAGCUAAUCUUUGUAUUUUUAGUAGAGAUGGGAUUUCACCAUGUUGGCCAGGCUGGUCUCAAAAUCCUGACCUCAAGCAAUCCACCUGCCUCGGCCUCCCAAAGUGCUGGGAUUACAGGCGUGAGCCACUGUGCCCAGCCUGUCCUCUCACUCUUGAAUUCCUUCCUGCAUGACACUAAGAACCCAUGUGACCUCCCGGGAUGAGCCCCGAUUUGGGGGUUCACCUGUGAUAAAGUAAGCUGGUGAACAGCAGGGAAGCACUCUGUGUCUGUAGCUUCCUGUGAGUAUGCAAUCAUUUCAAAAUUAAAAGUUUGUUAAAGCUAUAAAAAUUAUAAAAUAAAUUAAUAAAAAUCAUUGUCUCAAUCUUCACAACAA